GUGCACCAGGCGAGAAACCUUCGCAAUGCGGGAAACCGCGACGAGGGGACUCCCAGUGCCUACGCUCAGCGUAGGCUGUUCCCGAGCCUAGAAAGCUCGGGGAGUAAGGGCUGGGUAAGACGGGUGCCAGCCGCCGCGGUAAUACCCGCAGCCCGAGUGGUGGCCACUAUUAUUGGGCCUAAAGCGUCCGUAGCCGGCCCGGUAAAUGCCUGGGUAAAUCGUGAGGCCUAACCUCACGAAUUCCGGGUAGACUGCCGGGCUAGGGACCGGAGGAGGGAGAGGGUACUCCAGGGGUAGGGGUGAAAUCCUGUAAUCCCUGGAGGACCACCGGUGGCGAAGGCGCUCUCCUAGGACGGGUCCGACGGUGAGGGACGAAAGCCAGGGGAGCGAACCGGAUUAGAUACCC
rnacentral:rRNA from 1 species